CGGCGAGUGAAGCGGCAACAGCUCAAAUUUGAAAGCUAGCCUUCGGGUUCGCAUUGUAAUUUGUAGAGGAUGAUUUGGGGAAGCCGCCUGUCUAAGUUCCUUGGAACAGGACGUCAUAGAGGGUGAGAAUCCCGUAUGUGACAGGAAAUGGCACCCUAUGUAAAUCUCCUUCGACGAGUCGAGUUGUUUGGGAAUGCAGCUCUAAAUGGGAGGUAAAUUUCUUCUAAAGCUAAAUAUUGGCGAGAGACCGAUAGCGCACAAGUAGAGUGAUCGAAAGAUGAAAAGCACUUUGGAAAGAGAGUUAAAAAGCACGUGAAAUUGUUGAAAGGGAAGCGCUUGCAAUCAGACUUGUUUAAACUGUUCGGCCGGUCUUCUGACCGGUUUACUCAGUUUGGACAGGCCAGCAUCAGUUUCGGCGGCCGGAUAAAGGCUCUGGGAAUGUGGCCUCCACUUCGGUGGAGGUGUUAUAGCCCAGGGUGUAAUACGGCCAGCCGGGACUGAGGUCCGCGCUUCGGCUAGGAUGCUGGCGUAAUGGUUGUAAGCGACCCGUCUUGAANNACGG
rnacentral:rRNA from 1 species